rnacentral:rRNA from 1 species
CCUACGGGAGGCAGCAGUGGGGAAUAUUGCGCAAUGGGCGAAAGCCUGACGCAGCGACGCCGCGUGAGGGAUGAAGGUCUUCGGAUCGUAAACCUCUGUCAGCAGGGAAGAACGGUCACUGUGCUAAUCAGCAGUGAAUUGACGGUACCUGCAAAGGAAGCACCGGCUAACUCCGUGCCAGCAGCCGCGGUAAUACGGAGGGUGCGAGCGUUAAUCGGAAUUACUGGGCGUAAAGCGCUCGUAGGCGGUAUGUCAAGUCAAGGGUGAAAUCCCCGCGCUCAACGUGGGAACUGCCUUUGAAACUAGCAAACUGGAGUGUGUGAGAGGAUAGUGGAAUGCCAGGUGUAGGAGUGAAAGCCGUAGAUAUCUGGAGGAACAUCAGUGGCGAAGGCGACUAUCUGGCACAUAACUGACGCUGAGGAGCGAAAGCGUGGGUAGCAAACAGGAUUAGAUACCCCAGUAGUC